CCUACGGGCGGCUGCAGUGGGGAAUAUUGGACAAUGGGGGGAACCCUGAUCCAGCCAUGCCGCGUGUGUGAAGAAGGCCCUCGGGUUGUAAAGCACUUUCAGUGAGGAAGAACGCCUGGUGGUUAAUACCCAUCAGGAAAGACAUCACUCACAGAAGAAGCACCGGCUAACUCCGUGCCAGCAGCCGCGGUAAUACGGAGGGUGCGAGCGUUAAUCGGAAUUACUGGGCGUAAAGCGCGCGUAGGUGGCUUGAUAAGCCGGUUGUGAAAGCCCCGGGCUCAACCUGGGAACGGCAUCCAGAACUGUCAAGCUAGAGUGCAGGAGAGGAAGGUAGAAUUCCCGGUGUAGCGGUGAAAUGCGUAGAGAUCGGGAGGAAUACCAGUGGCGAAGGCGGCCUUCUGGACUGACACUGACACUGAGGUGCGAAAGCGUGGGUAGCAAACAGGAUUAGAUACCCGAGUAGU
rnacentral:rRNA from 1 species